rnacentral:rRNA from 1 species
CACGAACGCUGGCGGCAGGCUUAACACAUGCAAGUCGAGCGCCCCGCAAGGGGAGCGGCAGACGGGGGAGUAACGCGUGGGAAUCUACCCAUCUCUACGGAAUAACGCAUGGAAACGUGUGCUAAUACCGUAUACGUCCUUCGGGAGAAAGAUUUAUCGGAGAUGGAUGAGCCCGCGUUGGAUUAGCUAGAUGGUGGGGUAAAGGCCUACCAAGGCGACGAUCCAUAGCUGGUCUGAGAGGAUGAUCAGCCACACUGGGACUGAGACACGGCCCAGACUCCUACGGGAGGCAGCAGUGGGGAAUAUUGGACAAUGGGCGCAAGCCUGAUCCAGCCAUGCCGCGUGAGUGAUGAAGGCCCUAGGGUUGUAAAGCUCUUUCACCGGUGAAGAUAAUGACGGUAACCGGAGAAGAAGCCCCGGCUAACUUCGUGCCAGCCGCCGCAGUAAGAC